rnacentral:rRNA from 1 species
AGAGUUUGAUCAUGGCUCAGGACGAACGCUGGCGGCGUGCCUAACACAUGCAAGUCGAGCGGAUGCUGCAGCAAUGCAGCAUUAGCGGCGGACGGGUGAGUAACGCGUGGGCAACCUGCCUUCUACAGGGGGAUAACACAGGGAAACUUGUGCUAAUACCGCAUAACAUAUCUUUAUGGCAUCAUAGGGAUAUUAAAGGAGCAAUCCGGUAGAAGAUGGGCCCGCGUCCGAUUAGCUAGUUGGAGGUGUAACGGACCACCAAGGCGACGAUCGGUAGCCGAACUGAGAGGUUGAUCGGCCACAUUGGGACUGAGACACGGCCCAGACUCCUACGGGAGGCAGCAGUGGGGAAUAUUGCGCAAUGGGGGAAACCCUGACGCAGCAACGCCGCGUGAAGGAUGAAGGUCUUCGGAUUGUAAGCUUCUUUAGCCGGGGACGAAGAAUGACGGUACCCGGAGAAUAAGCCACGGCUAACUACGUGCCAGCAGCCGCGGUAAUACGUAGGUGGCGAGCGUUGUCCGGAAUUACUGGGUGUAAAGGGCGUGUAGGCGGGGAACCAAGUCAGAUGUGAAACUCCAGGGCUUAACUCUGGCGCUGCAUCUGAAACUGGAUCUCUUGAGUGCUGGAGAGGAAAGCGGAAUUCCUAGUGUANCGGUGAAAUGCGUAGAUAUUANGAGGAACACCAGUGGCGAAGGCGGCUUUCUGGACAGUAACUGACGCUGANCGCGAAAGCGUGGGGAGCAAACAGGANUAGAUACCCUGGUAGUCCACGCUGUAAACGAUGGAUACUANGUGUANGANGUAUCGANCCCUUCUGUGCCGGANUUNAACACAAUAAGUAUCCCNCCUGGGNNUA